rnacentral:lncRNA from 12 species
GUCACAUGAUGGCACAUUCCUAGGCUCCCCGAGUGGAGCAAGGUGCUCUCCUCCCUCCUAGGAGGACCAUGCCUAGUGCAUCUCCAAGAGCAAAUUCUCUCUGAGA